GUAGGAAGUAGUUUCCAAGUAAUAUCUCCUGAACCAUUGUUCCAACAAAACAUGAAUGAUGGACAGUAUCACAACGUGGGACUCCAGGAGACAUGUUUUCAAUAUGGAAAGAUGAUUCUUGUUAUCAACCAACAUGGAUUUUCAAACCUGUACUUUGAUCUUCUCUAGUAAAGAGCCAGAACUUGCCAGAGAGAGAGUUUUGCUGGACACAGAAUUCUGACUGAGCAAGAAACAAACAGGGGAGAAAGGACUUAGAACUCUGCAAUGGAAGGCCCUGAGAAACUCCCAGAGGUGAAGCCUAAAGAUAACUAUGGUGUCUGCAGAGGAAAACAGUAAGAAUUUGCCUCCAAGAGACCUCCAAGCUACUAAGAUUGUCCUAGAGGAAGAGAACAAAGAAGCCCUGGAGGAGAGAGCCAGAGAAGCCAUGACGCCAGAGGAAAGCAGAGGCUGAUACCAGACUUUGUGUGGUGACGUCAUUCGAUGGUGAUGCAAUGAACUGCUUCACUCUUCCUGCUUGGAGUCUCUGGUGCUCUUAUCAUGAAGCUAUUGGUCAUCAGGCCCUCAUAAAAUCUGGAACCUCUGAGUGUGUACACAUAAAUAUCCCACACAACAGCAAGCAGAUUUACCAC
rnacentral:lncRNA from 1 species